GACAGAGGAUGCAAGCGUUAUCCGGAAUGAUUGGGCGUAAAGCGUCUGUAGGUGGCUUUUUAAGUCCGCCGUCAAAUCCCAGGGCUCAACCCUGGACAGGCGGUGGAAACUACCAAGCUGGAGUACGGUAGGGGCAGAGGGAAUUUCCGGUGGAGCGGUGAAAUGCGUAGAGAUCGGGAAGAACGCCAAGGGCGAAGGCACUCUGCUAGGCCUGAUUUCGCGACUGACACUCAGGGACGAGAGCCAGGGGAGCGAAUGGG
rnacentral:rRNA from 1 species